GAAUCAGCCGUCUCCGAUGCUCUAAUUAGAGUUGAUCAUGGCUCAGAUUGAACGCUGGCGGCAGGCCUAACACAUGCAAGUCGAGCGGAUGACGGGAGCUUGCUCCUUGAUUCAGCGGCGGACGGGUGAGUAAUGCCUAGGAAUCUGCCUGGUAGUGGGGGACAACGUUUCGAAAGGAACGCUAAUACCGCAUACGUCCUACGGGAGAAAGCAGGGGACCUUCGGGCCUUGCGCUAUCAGAUGAGCCUAGGUCGGAUUAGCUAGUUGGUGGGGUAAUGGCUCACCAAGGCGACGAUCCGUAACUGGUCUGAGAGGAUGAUCAGUCACACUGGAACUGAGACACAGGUCCAAGACAUCCUACGGGAGUGCAGCAGUGGGGAAUAUUGGACAAUGGGCGAAAAUGCCUGAUCCAGCCAUGACCGCGUGUGUGAAGAAGGGUCUUCGGAUU
rnacentral:rRNA from 1 species